AUGAAGACUUCGUGGCGCUAGUGCUGCCUGGGGCUGUCUGGCGAGUCUAAUUAAAAACUUUGCACAUUUACAAAGUGUCAUAAAACUUCCCCAGAUGAAAGGUCCUCCGCGAAGGGCGGGACUGCGCUUUAAUGGAGCAACAACUGUCCGGCUUCAGCUGGACCUUGGAAGAGAUGGUGUUCAACUCUAGGCCAAAUGAAAACCAAUGGAGUCUGCAGUUACAUGCUGAUAAGAAGAGCCCACUGAUUGACUGAGUCUUGACUAUGAGAACUGAACAAAGAGAGCCUUAAAUAUGUAGCAGCUCCAGCCAAGAAAAUUAUUCAGACAAUACGGAAAUAAACUUCUGAUGUAGCUGAAUGGGGAGAAAAAUAAAACAUUCAUCGCAAUUCAAGAACUUGUCUAGUGUCUAAGGAUGUUUUCACAGGGCAGUGGCUGGCAGGGCAGCAGCCUGGGGCUGCUGCUGCUCAAACCUGCUCCAGAAGAAAGUGAGUGAUCCAAGACAGCAAUGCAGCUUCCAGCUCUGAGCGGUGCUGUGCUGUGUCAUAUGGACAUCAUAGCUCACCCAGCUUGGUCAAACAGCUUUCUCAGGAAGCUCCUCUUGCCAGAUGAGCCACAGCUUGAUAGAUAUCAGAAAUUUAAAUGGUUUGGUUCUUUAAAAACUGAUUGUCUUGAAUAAAAUCAGACCCAACUAUUCUGGCACUGAAAUAUUCCACAAGGAUAACUGUGUAUUACUAUCUGCAGUGUCUUUGUGCCGAGAAUGUGCUGUGUUAGUGCUACUACUAACUUCUAAAAUCCCAAGAGUUUAAAAUAAAAAUCAGGCUUUAUUAUCCCUUAAUGCAAUUUCAUUUAAGCUGCAGAUGAAUGAGACCCUUCUUGUCUUAUUCAGCCUCAAGCUGACAGCUAAACACCAAUCCAAGCCUUUUUUGUACAUGUGUGAUUGGAAUUCAGUACUUGCCUUUCAUCUUCCCUGCACUCCCCACAAAUUCUUCUCCCCUUACUCAGCUUCAGCUUCAACCCUCCAGUAUUCCCUUCUCCCCAGUCACCACUGCCCAGGACACCCUUGUUUCACACACCAAAUGGCCUGUCUAGCCCCAGUGAGCCAAUAUCUAAGCUGUCCAUCCCUCGGCUAUCCUGCAGCCUUUUCUGAUGUUUCCCAUGUAGGAACCAUCCCAGACCCAUUCCAGCCUGCCCACGUGCACUCCUCUGUGAUGUAUAUAGUUACAUGUGAAUUAUGUAAAUCGUGCACCUUUCUCGUUACCAGUUUCCUGAAAUGUAAUGCUCAAGACAAAACCAUCAGCUGUGGUCACUGCUGAUUAGAAAAGGAUUCCUGUUAAUUAGCACACACAUCUGAUCAGGCCAUUAACAAAAGCAUUGGGAAGCUACUAUGGAAGCUGAUUCAAGCUAUCAUCUAGGUAACUGCUGCUUUUUCCAGCACAAGGCUGUCACAUGAGCCCUUCUGAUCAUUUUCAUAUUCACAUUUGCUGUGCAUCUGUUCUAGCAUCUCCAAGCCCUGAUGUCUUGAAGGAACACGUGCUGAGGUACUUCCUGACUGGGGUCAGCUUCCAGUACUGGAACUCUGCUGGGUGCAGCUCAAGAUGUGAACCAAAUGCAGGCAUAAAACCAAUUUGGUUAAAUCUGACAUUUGGAAGGCAGUUCUCUAUUCUGGUGUGGAAAAAAUAAAUUUAGAUGACAUAUAAUUAGGAUUUUACAUCUCAUUGUCCUGUUUUCCUCAGCUUGUGCAAGAAACCAGGUUAGUCUGUUUAGUCGGUCCCAUGGAAUGUUGGGCUUUCAAAGUUUCACAGAACUAUGACAUUUCUACUGUUCUGCUGCUCUCUCUGAAGGAGGUCACAGGCAGAUGGCCACAGAGUAGUCAGCAACAGAUCCCAGGUGGUCAUGAAUGUAAGUUCCAACAUUACUUCCUCACUGCUUCAAAUGUCUAAUGUCAUUGGGACAUUUUAUACCUUUUGGCUAUCACAGCCUCCUCCAGCAGUGAAUUUCACAAGUGAUAUUGAUUGCACUAAGUUGUACAGGCACUUCUCCUGUUGCUUUUUCAGAGGAAAGUGUUCCUGCUCCUGCACCACCACGGUGCAUAGUAUCAGCCUUGCAAUUUAGCCUGCACAGGGAGUGCUGAAUGGAUUGUUUGAUGGCUGGGAGUACAAGACAUCCUCAUCUCCUUGCCUUGUGAAACUGCUCUGCACUAGGGCUAAUACUGAAAUGAAGACCCACUAGAGGGCAAGGCAUGCUCCAGGGCAAAUAUGAUUGAGGGUUACACUACCAAUAUAUUUUACUUACAAUUCUAUCACUAUGCUCAUACUAACCACAGCCUUUCAAUUAAUUGGUUCUUAGGACUUGAUAGACAAUAUUAAUGUAUUUCUGACAACAGCAUUUUCUCAAGUAGCAUUACUUGUUGCAGCCCAGCUUGGA